UUUACUUCAAUAAAUUUUAUAAUAAAUCCUGCAAAUUUUUCUUCUCAUCCGGUGGAAAUUCCUUUCUUUGUUUAGGUCUAGUCUUUAAUCCCUUUAAAGGAAUAUGUAGAGCUGGGGCACAUUCGGACUUCGGAUUUAUUACCUCGUUGGCGACAGACAAUGUCCUAGAUUUGCAAGAACAAGGUUGCUAAACCUCCGACAUGGGAAUAUGUGCAACAUAUGAGAGGAGCAUUCAUAGUGAAUCUUGGUGAUAUGCUAGAACGAUGGAGCAAUUGUAUUUUCAGGUUUCCAGCUCAUUCUCUCUAAGUUCUGGCACUCUUAACUCUUUCGUCGGGUGGUCCAUGUUGACAAUUCAAAAGUUUUUAGCACGCAUCGACUUUGGAUGCAUCGUCUCUUCAUCUUUCAAGCUUUUAUGUUGAGGCAGCGGACUAAAGUGAUUGACAUAAAUGGACAGGUUUCUAGCAUUGAUUGAGAGCAAUGUUUUCGUCCGUAUGUUCAGUGGCUUCUCGAGGGUUUAUGUCAU